GACAGAGGGUGCAAACGUUGUUCGGAAUUACUGGGCGUAAAGCGCGUGUAGGCGGCCCAGCAAGUCGGAUGUGAAAGCCCUGGGCUUAACCUAGGAAGUGCAUUCGAAACUGCUGGGCUUGAGUUCUGGAGAGGAAGGCGGAAUUCUCGGUGUAGAGGUGAAAUUCGUAGAUAUCGAGAGGAACACCGGUGGCGAAGGCGACUCUUGGUCUGUAACUGACGCUGAGGCGCGAAAGCGAUGGGGA
rnacentral:rRNA from 1 species